rnacentral:lncRNA from 1 species
CUGCAUUUGCAUCUGAGUAAAAAGAAAGAAUGGACUAAAACAGAGGAAGAAAAUCCAGAAAAGGAGGACUCCAAUCCAGAUUAAAGGAAUUUCCAAAAUGGUGGCUGAGACAAAACCUGGGGUUCAAGUCAUGUUACAGAGAUGGUGUUCCAGAUUAGUGCAGAAUAGUGGGCUCAAGAAGAAAUGCCUUCAAGAAAAGAUUGAAACCAACACACUACAAGUUUGACAUUGGAAAAGUUGAAUUGAAGAGUUGUUGGAAGGUUCUGAAGACCUCAAAUGGACUGAGCCACACUACCAGCAUCCAGCAUCCAUGGUUCUCCAGUCUGCAGAUGGCCUAUUAUGGGACUUUUCAGUCUUCAUAAUUAUAUGAGAGAAAGAAAAUGAAAAGGAUUUGUAAACUAUAAAUCUCUAAACAGAUGGGAGGAAAGGAAUUGAUGAAACAAUAAAUUUAUUGAUGAAACAAUAAAAAUAAACAUAAAGAACCAAAGGUAGGUUUGGACAUUCAUUAAUUUACUCUUGUAAUAUUUAUUGAGUAGCUUGUAUGUGGUAGGUACCAUACUCAGGGCGGGAGAUUAGUGAUGAACAAGACAGAUGAGCUCCCACAACUCACCACAUCUUGCUGCCAGACAGGAGAGACAUAAGUUACACAUGUAAGCAAACAGUUAAUAUCCCUAUAAAAAGUGCUAUGGAGAAAAGAAGCAGGACACUAAGAGAGAAAGAAACAAGGAAAACCAACACAGUAAAUUUUUCUGGCUGAGGAAACUAAGCCUGGAGGGUGGGAUGGAGUUAGACCAGCAAAUAAAGGGGUAUGCAGGAAUGUCCAAAGCAAAAACAACUCAAGGAUGACAAGUGUGGCAAGAGCACUUAACAGAAACCUGUGAUAGCAGACAUGUAAGCUAUGAAAGGGGUUUGACUUUGAUUCUAAGUGCAAGGAAAGCCACUGAAGGCUUUUAAGCAGGAGAGUGACGGGAUUUAGAAUUAUGCUUUAGAAAAUUCAUUUUUACUCUUUGAUUGUGAGGGUCAAGAAUGGAAAGAGGAAGCUACUGCAGAGGACCAGGAGAGUGAUGAUGAUGGCUUAGAUUAAGGGACAGGCUUUUCUGUCUAGUUUUCUGUCUAGUAAAACUAGACAGAAACUAGAGCCUUCUUGCUUGUUCCCUGAUAAGAUAAGCAAUGCUAAUAAACUAAGUCUAAAUAGAACGUAUGCCUUUUCUUGCAUUUCAAUGUAUUUUAAUUUCUUUGUUAAUAACAAUUAACCACUUGUACAGAAGAGUCGAGGCAUUGAGGUGUAAGAGAACUAGAAAUAAUUCUCUCAUAAGCAGUAGAAAUAGUAGGAAUUAGGUUCAAGACACAUGUUGGAGGUGGAAUUAAGAGGAUUUGUUGAUAGAAUAAUAAUAAUUGGGAAGGAGAAAAAGGUAAUUCUAAGGUUUCUAGCUUGAGCAACUAGGAGGGGGAUUCUGCUAUUUACAGAAAUGGGGAAGCUGGAACAUGUUUCUAAGGGAAAUAAAAAUAUACCUUUAUGGCAUGUUAAAUUUUGACAUCCAAAUGAAACUAUCAACAACGCAGUUAGCUAGGCAAUCAAAGAAUGAGCUAAAGAAAUAUGAGAGUCAUGACAGUACAGAUUCAUUCUUCCAACUGCCCACUGGCCUAGAUUGGGUGAAAAGCCAUCAACCCAUGUCACUUUAGGCUGCCAAGCUUAGACAUGCCAUGCAUGAUUGGCCGAGUAAGUGGUUUUCUUUUCAGGCCAGGAUCAAGCCUUUUUCAUUUACUUUCAAAUG